GAUGGUGGUUAUUGCAGCGGGGCCACACCUGUUCCCAUCCCGAACACAGAAGUUAAGUCCGCUUGCGCCGAUGGUACUGCAUGGGCAACUGUGUGGGAGAGUAGGACGCCGCCAUCG
rnacentral:rRNA from 1 species